CCUAUCCCUGUGACUUGUUGGUCACAAUAGGAAGGGCUUAAAGCAAAGUGCAUGCUGAUAAAGGAUUGUCAAAUAGUGUUGAAUGGGAGGGCUUAUGGGCUCCAGAGUUGUAUGCAGGGAGAGUGAAGGCCUAGCGGCGUGAAGCCUGCGGAUGAGGGUUGAGGGGCUGCCAGAUAGUGUUGUGUCUGUGGUGGGGAGGAGAGGAGGGAAGAGAAAGAAAGAGAGAGAUGGAAGUAGACAGUAAUAAGAAGAAGGAGACAAGAGGGGAGAGAGAGACAAGGUAGUAGACAGUAAGAAGGAGACGAGAGAGAGAGAAGGUAGUAGACAGUAAGAAGAAGAAGAA